ACACAUAACCCACUCACA
rnacentral:snRNA from 1 species